GACGAACGCUGGCGGCACGCCUAACACAUGCAAGUCGAGCGGAGAUUGAGAGCUUGCUCUCAUGAUCAGCGGCGGACGGGUGAGUAACACGUGAGCAACCUGCCUUUCAGAGGGGGACAACAGUUGGAAACGACUGCUAAUACCGCAUAACAUUGCCGAACGGCAUCGUUUGGCAAUCAAAGGAGCAAUCCGCUGAAAGAUGGGCUCGCGUCUGAUUAGAUAGUUGGUGAGGUAACGGCUCACCAAGUCGACGAUCAGUAGCCGGACUGAGAGGUUGAUCGGCCACAUUGGGACUGAGACACGGCCCAGACUCCUACGGGAGGCAGCAGUGGGGGGAUAGUUGGACAAUGGGGGAAACCCUGAUCCAGCGAUGCCGUGUGAGGGAAGAAGGUUUCGGAUUGUAAACCUCUGUGGACAGGGACGAUAAUGACGGUACCUGUUUGAAAGCCACGGCUAACUACGUGCCAG
rnacentral:rRNA from 1 species